CCCGUCGAGGCCGAAGUGGUAGAGGCACCUCGCUGAUAACGAGGAGACAGCGCGUUCGACUCGCGCCGACGGGA
rnacentral:tRNA from 1 species